GUGGGGAAUAUUGGACAAUGGGCGAAAGCCUGAUCCAGCCAUGUCGCGUGUGUGAAGAAGGUCUUCGGAUUGUAAAGCACUUUAAGUUGGGAGGAAGGGCAGUAAGUUAAUACCUUGCUGUUUUGACGUUACCGACAGAAUAAGCACCGGCUAACUUCGUGCCAGCAGCCGCGGUAAUACGAAGGGUGCAAGCGUUAAUCGGAAUUACUGGGCGUAAAGCGCGCGUAGGUGGUUCAGCAAGUUGGAGGUGAAAUCCCCGGGCUCAACCCUGGAAUUGCUCUCAAAACUGCAAGGCUCGAAUUCGGGAGAGGAUAGCGGAAUUGUCAGUGUAGCAGUGAAAUGCGUAGAUAUUUACAGGAACACCAGUGGCGUAAGCGGCUAUCUGGACCGAUAUUGACGCUGAGGCACGAAAGCGUGGGGAUCAAACAGGAUUAGAUACCCCGGUAGUCC
rnacentral:rRNA from 1 species